UGGCAAGAAUUGCGCAGGCGGU
rnacentral:miRNA from 1 species